rnacentral:rRNA from 1 species
AACGAACGCUGGCGGCAUGCCUAACACAUGCAAGUCGAACGGGAUCUUGACUUCGGUCAGGUGAGAGUGGCGGACGGGUGAGUAACACGUGGGAACCUGCCUUUUGGUUCGGGAUAACCGCGGGAAACUGCGGCUAAUACCGGAUACUCCCGAGAGGGGAAAGAUUUAUCGCCAGAAGAGGGGCCCGCGUCCGAUUAGGUAGUUGGUGGGGUAAUGGCCUACCAAGCCGACGAUCGGUAGCUGGUCUGAGAGGAUGAUCAGCCACACUGGGACUGAGAUACGGCCCAGACUCCUACGGGAGGCAGCAGUGGGGAAUAUUGGACAAUGGGGGCAACCCUGAUCCAGCAAUGCCGCGUGAGUGAUGAAGGCCUUAGGGUUGUAAAGCUCUUUUGCCAGGGAAGAUGAUGACUGUACCUGGAGAAUAAGCCCCGGCUAAACUUCGUGCCAGCAGCCGCGGUAAU